rnacentral:rRNA from 1 species
AACCCGACUACAUGAAGCUGGAAUCGCUAGUAAUCGCAGGUCAGCAUACUGCGGUGAAUACGUUCCCGGGUCUUGUACACACCGCCCGUCACACCAUGGGAGCCGGAAAUGCCCGAAGCCAGUGACCCAACCUUAGGGAGGGAGCUGUCGAAGGUGGAGCCGGUAACUGGGGUGAAGUCGUAACAAGGUAAC